rnacentral:lncRNA from 1 species
GACCCAUAUCGACCCAUGAACACCCCUACCGCCAACGUCGCCACCACCAACUGCUACCGUUCGAUACCUACUACCAACCAACUCAUCUAUCACAACUAGUACUACCACUAAUAACCACCAACACAUCAUCAACCUCAACACAUCGCUAAUAACCACUAACACAUCAUCAACUUCCACACAUUCUUCGGACACCAUCACCACCACUGUCACCGGCGUCACCACCUCUACCACCACCAUCCGCUACACUCGCUACAGUAUCUGUACUAACAACCAUUCCACCAUCACAGCUAACAGCAUCUCCAACGACCACCAACACAUCGUCAACCAUCAUGCAUACAGUUUUCCGUCACCACGAUCAACACCUCCAACUACUAACAUUAACCAACUUCACAGCACAACCACCGCCACCACUACCAAUCGCCAAUAUCAUGACAGUUACUACAAUGCCAACUAUCUCUACUAUCACAACUAUCAUCACCAACAUUGCU